GGUAGCGUGGCCGAGUGGUCUAAGGCGCUGGAUUUAGGCUCCAGUCUCUUCGGAGGCGAGGGUUCAAAUCCCUCCGCUGCCA
rnacentral:tRNA from 1 species